UGAGUGUUCAGGUAAACACAGACACCAUCACCUGUUCAGGUAAACACAGACACCAUCACCUGUUCAGGUAAACACAGACACCAUCACCUGUUCAGGUAAACACAGACACCAUCACCUGUUCAGGUAAACACAGACACCAUCACCUGUUCAGGUAAACACAGACACCAUCACCUGUUCAGGUAAACACAGACACCAUCACCUGUUCAGGUAAACACAGACACCAUCACCUGUUCAGGUAAACACAGACACCAUCACCUGUUCAGGUAAACACAGACACCAUCACCUGUUCAGGUAAACACAGACACCAUCACCUGUUCAGGUAGGAGGCUGAUGUCUAGCAGCGUUAGCAUGUUAGCAGCGUUAGCAUGCUAACCCACCAAACCUGUUGCGUCCUGCAGGAACUCGGCUGACAGAUAGAGAGGUUCUGAGUUCUGGACCUGGAUCUCCAGAACCCUCGAGGUUCUAUUGCUGCAGCUCCACACCUGAAGGACGGUCUAACACCUGAGGAGCUCCUCACAGAACCUCCAGCAGGACGUCACCCUGAGAACUUCCAGAACCAAGUCAGAACCUGCUGCUCCUCAGACCAGGUCCUCCUACAGAGUCUGGACUCUAUGAGACCUCAUCAUAGCCUGAUGGAGGUCCACAGCUGGUCAGCUCCGAGAUUAAUCAAUAAUCAAUAUGAAAGAAGGUCCACAGCUGAUCAGCUCUCAGAGAUUAAUCCAUAAUCAAUAAUCAGAGCACUACAUAGAGACACUGGAAAGCAGUAGAAGUAGAACAACCCACACCUGAACACACCUGAAAGCAGAAUUUUUUUCUUUAUUUAAACCUGCAGCAGAAAUCAGCUGUUUGAUUUCCUCCUGAGUCAGAGGUUCACCUGUAGACAGGUGAGUUCUAGUAGACCUGUAGACAGGUGAGCUGUGUUCCACCUGCUGCUGUUUGAUCAACAAUCAAUAAACUACGGAUUAUGAUGAGACAGACAGACAGGUUACAGACAGACAGACAGACAGACAGACAGACAGACAGACAGACAGGUUACAGACAGACAGACAGACAGACAGACAGACAGGUUACAGACAGACAGACAGGUUACAGACAGGUUACAGACAGACAGACAGGUUACAGACAGACAGGUUACAGACAGACCUACCCCAGCUGGAGGCCGUCCUCCCCAGCAGUUCGUGGGUCCGCGGGUUCCAGAAGAAUUCCCGCCACUCUCCGGAGCCUUUACGGUCCUC